rnacentral:hammerhead_ribozyme from 1 species
AUCCAACUGACGAGUUCCAAAUAGGAUAAAAAGUGCGUCUUGGAU